rnacentral:piRNA from 1 species
UAGGCUGAUUGGAAAGGCUGAGGAAAGU